UCAACCCUUACCAUCAAUACCUAUUAUUACACCCACCUACUCCCUCCCUUCUCCCACCUACUCUCCACACCUCUCUGCCAUAUCUCAAUUAUAUCAAAUCAUGGAGACUUUACUCAUACCAAAGAGACUUUACUCAUUCUACACAAAAGACAUGUUGCAUUCUUCUCAUCUGCAUUCAAGAAGGCAAGAACGCACAAAAGAAGCCACCAAGCACCAAGCACCAACCAUCAUUAACCCUCAAGGCUUUGUGACCAGGGGGAUUAGCGCUGCUUUCCCAAGACAGGUUUAUAAGUGAUUAUGAUCUUCAGGCUUUGCCUAACCAGGUUGAGCAGUUGAUGGAAUGGAAUGAUGUUGAGCGGGUGUUCCUUUGACAUUUCAAGAAAUGUAACCUUGAGUAUACAUCUUCAUAUGUAUAUCUCACACGUUUUCCGCUGCAAAACACUUUGAUUAGGAUAACUUUAUGUUAUGAAAUUGUGACACGUGUUAUUGGGUAACCCACCUUAAUCAGUUCUCAUUUAUGUGUAUGUUUUAUAAGUAUCCAAAUAAUCAUAUAUGAUCCUAGCAUUUUAUCUA